rnacentral:lncRNA from 1 species
GUGUUGAAGAAGAAGAGAAGGAGGAGAGAAGGUCAGGGGGCUCUGCUUUUUGUGAAGUAAUGGCAUGCACCUCAGCGCACCUGGUGCAGGUAAGGUAUGGCAGGUAAACAUGGCAGUUGCCAUGGCAGCAGAUGCACCAGUCCCUGUCGCCUAUGGAUGACAUCACCACUUGAUUCAGAAGCUUGCUUCUGAUGCCAACAACAAUCACUCAUGAAAUCAAUCUGGAGGUUCCUCCAGAAAAUUGGAAAUAGAUCCACCUGAAGACCCAGCUAUACCACUCCUGGGCAUAUACCCAAACAAUGCCCCACCAUAUCUCAAGGAUACCAUGUUCGUGGCACCUUAUUCAUAAUAGCCAGAAGCUGCAAACAACCCAAAUGUCUCUCAACCAAAGAACAAGUAUAGAAAAUGUGAUACAUUUACACAAUGGAAUACUACUUAGCUAUUAAAAAAUUAAUGUGGGAUGUAAAAACAUGGCAGAACGUUUGGUAAGGUAGAACAGGUUGAGACCCAGAAUCUUGGUGGGCACACACCUGAGGUUUAGGUAAUUCCUGACUUGGAACAUGUUCCAUGCUUCUCACAUAAAAGAGAGGUGGCCUGUGGUCACGUAGGCUCAGAAUAGAGUUCCCCAUGCUAACGAGGUACCUAGAGGCCUGGAGGGCAUAACCAAUAAGCUUCCUUUUCGAGACAUUCCUCCCUGAAAAAGGUAUAUAAUCUUAGGCCCACCUUGAGAAGUUGGGUAUGAUUUUACACAUGCAUUUCCACCAUGGCAAUAAGCUGUUUAGAACCACAGACUGUCUCUUUUCAUUGAUGUCUGCCUUAGGGAGCCAUGGAGAAGGCCUUUGCCUACAGAGCCACAGUCUAGUCUCCUGUGCUCCCAGCCACAACCACCACCAAACCUGUAUCUGCCAAGCCAAGGACUUGGGACAAGAUGGGGUUCCCCUUUCUCUGUCACCCCCACCCUGUUCCCAGCCCACAGCACUACCAUCCCCAACUCUGGUCUCUGCUCUUCUUCAACUCUCAGUGGCACCUGGAUGACAAAGAGCCCAAGAACCCCACAGUCUCAGGCCAGAGGACCCCCAAACCAGCUCCAGCUUUCCAAUGUCUCAGACAGCACUUUUGCACCCCUGGAAUGGUGCCUUGGUGUAUCUUCCCAGGUGGCAGUGCCAGGUAAGUGUAGUCAAAAUCUUUGAGUUCCACCUCCCCAAGUAGCCAUGCCCGUUGGCUGAGUGGGCUCAAGCCAACAACUCUACAAGUGAGGACAUCACCAAUUUUGGAAUCAAAUGGGUGGAACUAGAAAAUAUCAUCCUGAGUGUCCUUUGGGUACAGGCCUAAGUGUGAUAUAGCUAGGUGCUGAGGCAGAUUGAUUCCCAUCUUGUUGAGGCACUAGUACACUGAUUUCCAUAGUGACUGUACAAGUUUAUCGACUAGAAAUGGCUAAGUAUUCUUUUAUUUCAUAUCCUCACAAGAAUAAGGUGUCAUACAUCCCCUUGCAGCUCCUGAGUGAGAUGUGGUGUUUGCAUUUAAAAACCCCUUGGUGUAAAUGCCCUGGGCAACACUUAGAUUACAAAUACCUAAGUAUAGCUCCAGCAAGCUGAAAUAAAGACUUUUAAUUGACUAUAAACUGUGUCUGGGUGGUCAUUUCUGGUGAGGUCUUCAUGACAUUGACAGAAACCAUUCAUAAAAUAUCAGAUACUAUGAAAAAAACAAAAUCUAAGGAUAAUAGAAAUAGAGGAAGGAGGAAAAUCAGGUCAAAUGUGUAGAAAAUAAUUUCAACAAAGUCAUAGAAGAACAUUUUCCUAGCUUGAAAAAGGAAAUGGUUAUCAAGUUACAAGAAGCAAACAGAAUGCCAAAUAGACUGGACCAGAGAUGAAAUUUCCCUUGUCCCAUAAUAAUAAAAACACCAGACUAUAAAGCAAAGAAAGAUUAUUAACAUAUACAAGGGAAAAGACAAAAAAUAUGUAAAGACAGACCUAUUAGAAUUACACCUGACUUCUCGAUGAGGACUCUAAAAGCUAGAAAGGCUAUGAACAAUAGACACUAAAGAGGCUAUGUAUGAUAACUAAGACUACUGCACCCAUCCAAAUUUUUAAUCACAAUAAAUGGAGAAAAUAAGAUAUUCCACGAUAAAAACAAUUUUCAGCAAUAUCUGUUGACAAAUCCAUCCUUACAGGAGGAUUACAAGGAGAAAAACUUUAACUGAAAAGGUUAACUACACUCAGGAAAAUAUGGGGAAUAAAUAAUCCAGGACUGGAGAAGAGGGGAAACACACACACACCACACAAAAACACAAAAGCAGGAAUCAACAAAUACUGCUCAUUGAUGUCUCCCAACAUCAAUGAUCUCAAUUACCC